AACCAUGAGGUCCAGCUUAAAGGUUACAAGCAAAACAAAAGCAUUUUGGAUUAGCACAGAGGAGUCCACAAGCCAAUAAGAAAUAAACAAAGAUAAACCUAAUCGUACCUUUCUAGACAUUUUCUGAUCUACUUACAUAACUGGGGUUUUAAAUGAGGAGGUUUAGGUAUGAUCUGAUUUUCAUACCUGACGACAAAAAGCUUUUACAGCAUAGUCUUAGCCCUGUCUCUGCUCUCUCCUCUCUCUCUCUGGAGAACAACAACAACAGAGAAAGGGAAAGUUUUUUCCCAAUUUUAAAAAGUUCUAGCCCUCCUUUUGGUCAAGUGCCCACUUCUUUCCUUUUACCUGUGGACUUGUUAACCCUGUACAGGUUAAGCAAGUAGAGAACAACUACCAAGAGGGAUUCUAUAGCUAACUGGCUAGCUGGGUGUCCACACAAGGGAGCUACACCCCCCUCCCUUCAUUUAUCACAUGUUGUAAUAUAAAUCAAUUUAUUUGAAAAAGUAAAAAAAAAAAGAAUUUAAAUAUCCAAAAUAUUUAAUAAAUUUCAAUUGUAUUCUAUUGUUUAACAGUGUGAUUAAACAUAACAGUGUGAUUAAAACUGCAAUUAAUCGCAAUUAAUUUUUUAAAUCACAGUUAAUUUUUUGGAGUUUUUGGAAUUGACAACCCUAAUUUAAAUUAAUCUUCCUCUUUGCAUGUAUUUUCUUAUUUCAGCCUUGAGGGUUGCUCUGAGCUGCUGAGUUCAAGCCCAGUCACUAAGAUGAGAAGAUACAGGUGAACUUUAUCUGUCUGGGAUGGUUUAGACACAACAAUUCCUGCAUCUUGGCAGGGGAUUAGACUAGAUGACCCUUCUGGUUCCUUCUAACCCUCUGAUUCUAUGAAUUUCCCAGGGUUUCAGUAACACAGUAUUAGCCUUCAGGAAAUCACAUGACUCAGUUCUGUGACAUAAUACAUACAGAUGAGUACAAACCAAAACCAUGGAUCCAGAUACCUCCUGAACUUUGCGACUUGUUCCAUUCUUGUCAUUUACUAUAUUUAUGUACAAUGUCUAACACAAUGAGACCACAACUUGUUUGCAGUCUCAGAUUGCUACCACAAUAUAAAUGUUAAAUAAUCCUGUGAACAGUGAAUGUGUCCCAUCAGUUUCAAAGCAGACACCUGGCACACGGAAGUACAAAUAUUCAGAGAUGCAAGAAUGGACACUGAACUGAGUGUUUUAAGCUUGUAUUGUGGGUCCAUAGUGCACUGAGCUUAUUUAUACUCUUAACUUUUAUUUGUCAGUCCCUAAGAGAGCAAAAUGUAGAGCCUAGGUUCUCUGAAGCUGGCAGGUUAGCCUUAAAGGUACCACAUUUCUGCCCAGUUAGUGCCUGCCCUUGCCCCCUUCUUACUGCCCCCCCAUUGUAUCCCGACCCUCGAUACCAUCACCCUUACCCCUGACCUCGACCCUGCUGGCCAGUCCUCCACUAACACCUUAGAGGGCUGGGUUCUCAUCCAGGGGAAGCGGGGCAAGCGGAAGAAAAUAAAAAGAGAAAUGCAAAUAAAGAUUCACUCAACAUAUACCUAAGCUUUGCACCAUUAACACUUCAAUAGGACUGCUAUGCCAGAAGGGAAGCAGACAAUAUGGCUUUCUUGCCUUCUCAUCUGGUGGCGUUGCCUUGAGAUAUAGACAUUUUGGGCAAAGAUGCAGUUAUCAUGGAGAUUACCAUAUCUGUGGGGGGAAGAGGAGUGUUUCUGCACCUUUGCUUUAAAGAUUGCUUUGUGAUCAUCUCUGCAAUUAUCUAGUACUGGUUGCAAUUACCCUAAUAGCCUCCAGAUAGUUCUAUAGACAUCUCUGGGAUGGUUUAAGAAAAUGGGGACAUCAGUGGCCAUGAAGAAAGCCCACAUGUCCAGUCUGUAAAUUUGCAGAGGGGUUUGUAUGACACCCCCCACGCUAUCAAUCGCAUGAGCCCAAUGACUCAGUGGUUAGAAACCCCAGAGCCUAGGUGAUAUUUUUCCACAUCUAGUCUGCUGUACCAGGUGCUUGAGGAGAGAGUGGUUUUCUUGUUUCCUACAUCAUCUUGAUGUCCUCCCAGUCCUUUAGAACAGAGCUGACCUGUCUGGCUUGAGUUGAAAUGGAGCUGAGUAGUUGUCUGAAUUUAAGAGUUAUGUUUUUUCUUGUUCUCAUGUUUCCUGGAGGUAAUUCCAAACUACGCUAUUAUGUGUGUUUUCUUGCUUCUCUGUGUUCACCCACUGUCUUCAGAACUUCUGCUAUAUUAGCUAAUGCUCUGUGGUUUAAAUAUCCCACUCCAUGCCAUUUGCUUUUUUUUAUACUAUGCUACCUUGAGUUUAUCCUUCCUCCAUCUCUGUUAAUGGGUCCUUUUUAACAACAAAAUUGAAUAUAAAAUAUUCUCAGCCAGCUGUAGCAGGCCAGUGUUGUCACAUUUCUUGCCAGGGUAGUGAGCCACUCCUUGGAUAAGUUGUAGAUCCCAGAUGUUAAGCUUCUGGUGCCUUAUCAGACUCCUCAGGCAGCUGUUACUGGCAAUCGUUAGACGUGCUUAUGCAGCUGGGUGGGUCCUUUUAUUUGAUUACACUGUUUUUCUAGCCACUGUAGGAAAAGAAAUGCUGUGUCUCUUCUACCUUCCUCCCAACAUCUCCAAGAAAAAAAAGUAUUGUCUGGCUAGUUUAUUGGAUACACUAUCUUCUUCUUCUUCUUCUUCUUUUUUGCUAUUUAGGCAGAAGGAAACUCCUAGGGACUCUUUUGGAUUAUAGAGAACAAGCAGAAGUGUCUACGUGGGACAUGGCCAAAGAGCAUCCCACAGAUGCCACAAUCAACCAUGUGGCCAUCCUUGUGUUUGCUGAGACCUGUGGCUUCUGAAUAUAGCACUUAUGUGGGCUGCUCACAUCAAAAUGAAUCAAUAUCUGCUGGGACUUGUAGCCGGCAUGAGCCAUACUUCUGUAUGGAAGAGGAAGGCAACCAUAACUGCUAAUGAUGCCACAUUAAUUCUGUCAGCCUAUAAAAGCCGAUCACUACAUCAGUUAGCUUCUAUACAGUAUAUCUACAAUAAGAGCAAUCAGCAGGCACAGACCUCAAAAUGGGCAACAAAUGCGUGUACAAAGUGGCAAGUCAAGAAUGUUGACUUUAAUUAUUUAUUUUGAAUAGAUUUGGGAAGGGGGAACAGGAUGAGGAUGGCUAGGUGAUUGCAGUCUCAAAAUCGUUUUUUUUGUUUUGUUUUGUUUUUGUUUUUAAGGUAACUGAUGCUGUUUGAGCAAACGUCUAGCAAGUUGCACCCAGUCUGAGUGGAUGGGUUGUGCAAGGGCUGAAAAAUGGAAUCCUAACCAUGGCAGAGGAUGGCAGUAGCUAUUACUACAGGACACGAGGAGGAGUAGCAAACAUAAGUGUGUAGAGAUCCCACCUCUUUGCUCCCAAAACACACUCAUGGUCCAGUAUGGAGAGCUGCUACACAGCGCUGUUCCAUGAUGCAAAGGGUGUUGUAGCCCAUGGGGCUAGCCUGCUAGCUUUCUAUAUUAUAUAAUCUGUUUUCUUUAUUGGUUUGAUUAUUAUUCUCUUGGAUUAUGUUUUGUACUGAAUAAUUCCAGUACACGUUUCUUCAUUAUACUUGGCUGUAACUCAAGGAACAUACAGGCAUGUAUCCUGUAUGAUUAGCUAGAGAAAGUUAUCAUAAGUGUUUGUAACCUUUGGCAUAGACUAAUGGCUUAACGAUUACCUCUUUUGACUUUGGGGAACUGAAGAGAAAACUGAAUGUGUUCAACAAAAUUCUGGAAAAUACCAGUAACCACAAGGUACUGUAUACCGCUGAACAUGGAAGUAAUGAUCUAGGCCAAAGCUAACGGUUUUGAGGAUGAGGUAAUUGAUAAUAAUAUGGAUGAAUAUGCUAGCCUAUUCAGUAAGUGUACCCAAAGAUUUAUCUGGGUGGAAGGUUAGGCAUUGAUAUGAAUUUUCAGAACAGUGUCAGGACCUUAUAAGAGGACAAACCACCAUAAGGAGGGGUCAUUCCUUCUCAUAGUUAUCUUCUGUUAAGCUAUCAGCUCAGCAUCUGCAGUAUAGAUGACCUCCUGAGGUUCCUUCCAACCCUGAUAUUCUAUGAUUCUAUAGCUUAGCUACUCAACACUUGAACCUGAUCUCUACCAGUUUGGGAUUGAAGAGCCUGGAGCAUCAAACUCAUUCGGCCAGAGAUGCGGCUGGUCCUCUGUCUCCCACUACCAGGUCUCCAAGGAAGGGCGCGAGUAUUCUAGUUUAAGUAGCCUCUUGUAAAAGGGAUGUUACCACCAGGGACUAUAGAGCUGUAUUAUUUUUUUGUGGCUCUGUGGUUUGUAACUUUGGUUACUCUCUUGUUGAUUUUAAUAAAGAUCUUGAAAAUUUGGUUUUGUCCCCACACAUGCCGAGGGUCUGUACAAGAUAUUGUACUCCCUAUGUUCUCUAAUUCUAUAGCCUGAAUCUGGGACAAGAACCUAGGUAUUUUCUGGUCAGAUCAUUGGUGAGCCGUAAUAAAUUAGCACUCUAAAUUCAGGUCAACAGUGUUCACUUGCAUAGUGGAAACUGCUGUGCUUUAGGCCCUAUAUAGAGCUGUACAAGAUGUAUUUAUACAGCACCCAAGUUGGCUAGGCCCUUAAAAAUGAUUGGGAAGACAGGUCCAAGCCUUCCUUCAAUAACUUGCAAUCUCAACAGAUACAAGACAGUGGACUAAUGGAGAAAAGGGAUACACCAUAGCAGCAAAGGAUGAAUGAUGUUUUAUCCCUGUCUUGUUUUAGAUAAUAGUUUCAUGAUUGUCUGCUCCUUAACCUAACAAGUAUAAUGGCUAUACCCACUGCUUUAGUGUGGGAGAUCUGGACAGUCUAAGACUUAUUUCUUUAAGAGUGAACUCAAUAGGAUGUGAUAGAAGUCCAGUCAUCUAAAACUGGACAAAGUGCUCCUGGAAUAGUGGGCAGGAAUAAUUCCCCAUUGGCAAUGGGAGUAGACUGGAGUAGACUAUGUGUGACUUGUCAUUUGCCAUCUCUGAUGUUCAUGAAAUUAAUACUAAUCCCGCACAUAUUUAUCUAAUUUUUUUAAUAACUUGAAGGGUGGUGGAGUAGGAGAAAAGUGUAUUGAUUAGCCCACAUAGCACUCUCUAUUAUUAACUUCUUGUCUUUUUUCAUUAGAAGAUAGAGCUGGAGGGUUUAUAGAGCAGUUUCUGUAUACAAGGCAUUAUAAAUCCUAAAUCAAAAAGUGUUUCAUUUGUAAUGCAGUAAAUCAGGAGGCAAAUGCCAAAGCCAUAACAAUACUUGUUUAUUCUCUGCUUAAGUCAAACUCGGACUCCUCAAACCACCAGCAGCAUCAUGUGAGUGACGUUUUGAGUGUAUCAUUACUUUGUAUUUUUUCAGAGACAGCAACAUAAUUCAUCGUAAUCCCUUUCACUCUGACUUUUGUGGUGGUUUACUUCAGAAGAAUAGAAGGCAAAGAGCCCAACUUAAGUAUAUGCACAAUCUUGGUGGCAGUAGCUGUUUUCUUUGGGGCACAGUAUACAAGGCCAGAAGGGACCACUCUGGUUAAUUACCCUUACAGGAACUCUUCCCAAGCUGUAACAAGCUACCUGACUCCAGAAUGUGAGAGGAAUACCUAUGAACAGAAAUAUGCGACAAAGAUCAAACAUUACAUUAAUGAGCCUUUUCUUACCCCAUCCCCCACAAGCUGUCUUGAUGAUUUCCUUUACAUCUAGCUCGGUCUACACACGAUUGCUGUGCUGACAAUAGCCUUUGUGUUUCACUCUCACAUUCCCGGCCAACACUAUGUAUUAUUACUCCUGAUGUAGCAUCUGCCCUUCCACUCCGGCACGUCUCAACAAAGUCUAACAAUCAUAUUGACUUGUGGUACAUUUUGUAAUUGAAAAGAGGGGCUGAUGCAUCAACUGCUAUAGUCUCAAAUAGUAACUUUAUUGUGCCUUAAAGCACAAUUCUACCCCUCAAAGAAAUCUUUGGAGAAUGGUGGGGCCCUCAUCCUGGCAAAAGAAAGUCAGUGCAAGUUGUUGGUGUUCAGUAAAUUUCAGGAUUUUUGGUCAUAAAUAAGGAAAGUGUGUGGGGUGGGGCUGACAUGUUCACAGUAAAGUAACUUUGCUCAAUCCCACUUGUGCCCCAAUAGUAAGAAAAAACAAAACAACAAGAUGGGUAAAAGCACAAAGGCUAAUGGGAGUGGAGAUACACAAGUGGGCAAACAGAAAUAUCAAGUUUUUGUUUAAUUUUGAAAAAGCCUGAGUUAGGUAGAGCAGCUAAGGAGUGGGAGUGGAACAGUGAGAGGCAAACAAAUAUUUUUAAACAAAGGAAUGCAGCUCUUCUGACAAAGGAAAUCUAUAGAACUUGAGAAACUUCAAAAGCCUGCUGGCAGUUGUGUACAGGAAGAGGAAAUACUAACUCUGAAUGUGAAAGCAACACUCACUUUCAAAUAUAAACCAUGGGUCUUCUGCUUGAUUGGCUCUGUGUGUAGCCUGGUGCUCUAUAAAGGGUCUUUAUUUAAAUUUAAACAUUACACAAGAAUUAUUUUUGAAAAUACUCUCUGUCAUUGCUGAAAUGUUAGUUAUGCAAAUGUACUGUUUGUUCUGUGUAUUUCUAAGAUGCUCAUCACUUUUGUAUCUUGGUUCUAACUGCCACUCAAAAUUGCAGAGAUACAAAAGGGAAAAUGCAAUGUUCCUUAACCCUAUGAUGGGCCACAACAGCUACUUAAAAUUCAGCAGCAGUCUGUCCGACUUUUUAAAGUACUUUAAGAUGCCUUGAGUAUGAAGGGUGCUAUGAAACCUCUAGCCUACAUGAACAACUAAGGAUCUAUUCUUUGUCUUGAAGCCAUAGUCAACCUAUAAAGGUAAAUAGACUCUGAGCCAGAAAGCCUGUUGACAAGAGGGUAGGCAUUAAGCAUAAGCCGGAAACAUUUUUGUUUUCAUGCAAGAGUGUUUGGCUCUGAGGGCGUUUUUAGGUCAGGCUGCCCCAGAGCAUCCUUCCAUGGGGAUUUAAAUAAUGAUUAUGUCUGUGUGUGCUUGGUCAGCCAGACUUUCAUCAUAAGUAUGACAUAUACGGAUAUGUGGGGAGACCGCAGGUCUGGAUUCUUGCUUCAUGCUGUUCAGGGAAGUGAUUGUCAAAUGCCAUGAGAGUGUUCUGGGUAAAGAACCAAAUAAAGCUGCAUCUUAAAGCAGGAUCCUACCUUCCGCAGGUCAUGGAAAUCCCAGGUCCAAAGUGUACAGCAGUCUAAUUCUAGUCUGAAUAAAUCUCUGCACAGUCAUGUCAUGACAGCCUAAACUCUACAUAACUGCUAAAGACCAGUUACUUAAAAAUAUGGAACAUUCUAUGAAUUGAUUGAACUGUGCUCUGUGGUCUCAGAAACAAUAAGUUGGUCCUACAUGCAGGCUGUGUCUGGAAACAAGAGGCACUUUCACUUUGUGUUGCAGGCUUAAACAGCUUUAAGUAAAUAGGCAUUUCCCUGGGUUAUGAAGCCAGAUUGGAGUUUCUUUUAAAUUAUUUGCAAUGGAACCUAAAAAGACCCCUAAUCAGGUCCAGCCCUAGAUUUUCUGUGGAUCUACAUAAUGUACUAUAUGCAAGGCCACAUCUGCUUUUCUCCAUACCUGUAAAAAUGUCCCUUCACUUCUGCAUGCCAGAGACAAUAUCUUGUGGCCAUCCAUUGCCUAUGAACCUUUCUGCCUCUUAGUUCUUUAGCAACUGUUCCUCCAUGUGGUUGAGUCUCUGUACUAUCUUAGAGCACCUCCACCCACAGGGCCUUUCUUUCUAGCUCCCAGACUAACUCCACCUAAUGUCACCACACAGUAUCCCUAAAUCCCGGUCUAGACUUUGCAGGCAUCAAAAGCCAAAGUACAACUUUCUGAGAGAAAGAAGUUAUUAGAUAAUUUUCUCUCUCCCACAGCACAGUGGUACUAGUCCAGUCUGAGUCUACAGUUGUACUUAUAGCUGGAGAACUGGGGGAAAUGGUGUUCUGAGGCAUGUGUGUGUAACCUGGGGAUCCUGGAAGUGUAUGUCCCAUAUAUAAGGAUAUACCUAAAGUCAUCUCUGUAUAUAUGUCACAACUGGGACAUCAGUAGUCUGACCUAGUGGUCAAAGCAGGAGUCAGGCUAGGUUAGAUACUAGGAGGUCAGAGUACAAGCCAGGCCAGAGAGCAAACUGAGAAUCAAGAGUCAGGAAGCAGGCAGGGUCAGGUUACCAGGAGAUCAGAAGCAGGAGACAAACUUGAGAGCAGAACCACAGAUCGAUAACCAGAAUCAAGACAGGUCUUCCUGCUUUGUAAAUGGGGGAGGAGGAAGAUGACUCUGAAGUAUAGUACAUCAAUGUCUUUCUUUUUAUCAUGUUUCACAGAUGUUGUCUCACUGGGAUUUUUUCCAUAGAUGUUUAGUCGUUUGCCAUGUAUAGCUAUUGAGUGAAUGAUUAUCCAGAGGGGGCCAUGACUUUGAGACAGUUCCAUUGUAUUGUAAGUGGGCCUAGAGUAAAAUGACAUUAUUUGCUAAAAACUCUUGCUUUCAUCUUCCUUGAAAGUUAGGAAAGGGAGAAGGAGAGCCUAACCCUAUGUAGCUAAAAUUCUGCUCUGAAUAACUGUUCUGAUCUUAAAAAGAAAAGGAGUACUUGUGGCACCUUAGAGACUAAUAAAUGUAUUUGAGCAUAAGCUUUUGUGAGCUACAGCUCAUUUCAUUGGAGCUGUAGCUCACGAAAGCUUAUGCUCAAAUAAAUUUAUUAGUCUCUAAGGUGCCACAAGUACUCCUUUUCUUUUUGCGAAUACAGACUAACACGGCUGCUACUCUGAAACCUGUUCUGAUCUUGUUCAUCCAGUGCACUAUCUAGUAAAUUUUUGUGGAUAUUUUUGGUUUGUUUUUGUAACAAUGAAAAAUGUAAGGCCAUCAAAACUGUUUUGUAACUGCUUCAUGCCCAGGAAGGACCACCACAAGAUUAUAAUAA